rnacentral:tRNA from 1 species
GGGUAUGUAGCUCAGUGGAUAGAGCAUCAGGUUCCGGGCUUGAUGGUCGGGGGUUCGAGUCCCUCCAUACUCG